GGAGUUAGCCGGUGCUUCUUCUGUGAGUGAUGUCCUUCCUGCCGGCUAUUAACCCGCAGGCCUUCUUCCUCACUGAAAGUGCUUUACAACCCGAAGGCCUUCUUCACACACGCGGCAUGGCUGGAUCAGGGUUGCCCCCAUUGUCCAAUAUUCCCCACUGCUGCCUCCCGUAGGAGUCUGGGCCGUGUCUCAGUCCCAGUGUGGCUGAUCAUCCUCUCAGACCAGCUACGGAUCGUCGCCUUGGUGAGCCGUUACCUCACCAACCAGCUAAUCCGACAUAGGCUCAUCCGAUAGCGCGAGGCCCGAAGGUCCCCCGCUUUCCCCCGUAGGGCGUAUGCGGUAUUAGCCUGGGUUUCCCCCAGGUUAUCCCCCACUACCGGGCAGAUUCCUAUGCAUUACUCACCCGUCCGCCGCUCGCCACCAGGGAGCAAGCUCCCCGUGCUGCCGCUCGACUUGCAUGUGUUAGGCCUGCCGCCAGCGUUCAAUCUGAGCCAGNGACACACUNACACGUAGCGGCGCGUCGACGACGCGACUAG
rnacentral:rRNA from 1 species